GGUGCCCCCGCUCAGCCUGCCCCGAGGGGAAGCUCAGGUCGGCUUCUUCAAGCGGAACCGGCCACCCCUGGAAGAAGAUGAUGAAGAGGGGGAGUGAUGGUGCAGCCUACACUAUUCUAGCAGGAGGGUUGGGCGUGCUACCUGCACCGCCCCUUCUCCAACAAGUUGCCUCCAAGCUUUGGGUUGGAGCUGUUCCAUUGGGUCCUCUUGGUGUCGUUUCCCUCCCAACAGAGCUGGGCUACCCCCCCUCCUGCUGCCUAAUAAAGAGACUGAGCCCUGAU
rnacentral:lncRNA from 1 species